CUUAAUUAAUCAGCCACCAGCACUAUAAAGGCUAUCUUCUUUCCCCAAAUUCACCUCGUUGAUACCAAAUCCUUUUCCUUGUUCGUUUCAGCUUCCUUCCUCUUCUACAUGUUCCUUGUCAUCUACAAUAAUUCCUAUUAAAAUAGAAAAAAAUGCAGCGAUCAAGAAACAUCAAGAUCUGUGGGAACGACAGAAUUAUCUCUUGUCGUCUUUCAAUUUCCAAUCUGAAAGUUUUAUUCGUUUUUGAAUCCUCGUUAUUAUAGAAUUCGAUCACGUGUUCUUAUAAGCUUUUGCUGCUCCUCCUUCUCCGACCUCUGCAGAUUUUCCAAUUUCCUCUUUAAUCUCUCCUCUGUUUCUUUUCUUUUCUGCAAUAUUCAAUGGAUAAUAACAUUUCUGUUCCGCAUGAUCUUCCUGAAGGCACAAUCUCUGGUGCAGCCUUCUAUCAUCGUAAUUGGUAAUUGUAUAUCAGGUCUAGCUGCUGCUAGGGACCUCUCUGGAGCAUCUUUUAAGGUGACUGUUCUUGAAUCACGUGAUAGGAUUGGUGGUCAUCCACACUGAUUACUCCUUUGCCUGUCACGUUGACAUGGGAGCUUCAUGGUUACAUGGAGUCUCCAACGACAACCCAUUAGCUCCAAUUAUACGCCGUCUAGGCCUCAGUGGUGAUGACUCCUUCUUGUAUGAUCAUGAUCUCCAAAGUUAUGUAACUUUAUGACAUGCAUGGGAACAAAAUUUCACCGCACUUGGUUACUCAAGUUGGAGAUGCAUUCAAGAGAAUUCUAGAUGAAACAAAAAAUAAGGGAUGAAACCGCCAGUGAUAUGUCAGUUCUUCAAGGAAUAUCCAUCGUCUUGGAAAGAAAUCCAGAACUAAGGCAAGAAGGAAUGGCGUACCAAGUUUUGCAGUGGUAUAUAUGUCGGAUGGAGGCGUGGUUUUCUGUAGAUGCGAACCUGAUAUCACUCAAAUGUUGGGAUCAGGAUGAAGUAAGAACAACAUUUACAUGUUUUUUCGCUGGUAAAUUUCAUUAAACCAAAGAAGAUACAUGGAUGAAAUAAUUGAAAAAAAAAUUAAGCCGGCAAACAAAUUUUCCCGGAGGGUACAAAUUUUCCCGGAGGGUACAACCAAAGGUUGAAACCAAAACUUGGGCAAAAAACACCUAAAUCCUUGAAGAAAGGAGUAAAAUCCCAGGGAAUCCAAGCAUAGUUGCAUUUUACUUGUUAUGAUAUUGUUUUCGUUAAUAAAUUUGACUUCUCUUAAGUAAAAUGUUAAAACCUUAUAUACAGUUAUUGUUAGACAAACUAAGUUAUUUUAAAAAUGUUGAUGUUUAUUACUUUCACCGGAUUUUUUGAGAGGUUGCAAUUUCAGUUUAUUAGAAGUAAGGUUUGUGUUUUUCACAUCAAAAGCUCCAUAACUUAUUAAAGUUAUCCAAGAAGUUGAUCUCAGGAACCAUCCAGUUGGAAAUCCGAGUAUUUACAUGGAGCAAGGAAGAAUUACGAGACCGAGCUCCUUUUUGCAAAGCUAUCAAUUUGAAUAUUCAAAGAAAGACAAAUAAAGGAUAUGAAGUAAGAAUUAAAAGAACUGGUAAGGAGAUGAUAAUCAUCAGUUUCGGCUAAUAAAGAUGGACAGUCGGCUUCCUCUUCUUAUAAGAUUUUGACUAGUUUCAUACAAUCUUUUUCAAAGGUCACUGAUAGUUGGUCUAGUUAAACUGAAGAUUUCAUGCCCCACGUUAGAGUAUGGACUAGCAAAUGAAUCAAAAGUCGUUGUACCAUUCCCCCCCCCC